rnacentral:rRNA from 1 species
AGAGUUUGAUCCUGGCUCAGAUUGAACGCUGGCGGCAGGCUUAACACAUGCAAGUCGAGCGGAAACGAUGAUAGCUUGCUAUCAGGCGUCGAGCGGCGGACGGGUGAGUAAUACUUAGGAAUCUACCUAGUAGUGGGGGAUAGCACGGGGAAACUCGUAUUAAUACCGCAUACGACCUACGGGAGAAAGGGGGCAGUUUACUGCUCUCGCUAUUAGAUGAGCCUAAGUCGGAUUAGCUAGAUGGUGGGGUAAAGGCCUACCAUGGCGACGAUCUGUAGCUGGUCUGAGAGGAUGAUCAGCCACACCGGGACUGAGACACGGCCCGGACUCCUACGGGAGGCAGCAGUGGGGAAUAUUGGACAAUGGGGGAAACCCUGAUCCAGCCAUGCCGCGUGUGUGAAGAAGGCCUUUUGGUUGUAAAGCACUUUAAGCAGUGAAGAAGACUCCAUGGUUAAUACCCAUGGACGAUGACAUUAGCUGCAGAAUAAGCACCGGCUAACUCUGUGCCAGCAGCCGCGGUAAU